UACGUAGGGUGCGAGCGUUGUCCGGAAUUACUGGGCGUAAAGAGCUCGUAGGUGGUUUGUCGCGUUGUUCGUGAAAACUCACAGCUUAACUGUGGGCGUGCGGGCGAUACGGGCAGACUGGAGUACUGCAGGGGAGACUGGAAUUCCUGGUGUAGCGGUGGAAUGCGCAGAUAUCAGGAGGAACACCGGUGGCGAAGGCGGGUUGCUGGGCUGACACUGACGCUGAGGCGCGAAAGCUAGGGGAGCGAACGGG
rnacentral:rRNA from 1 species